rnacentral:lncRNA from 1 species
AACGCAUCAGCACACGUAGCCACGUCGUGACGACCAGGCCAUGAGUGCUCAUUGCGUCAUUUCGCUGGUAAUUUUGAAAACACGAUGGUUCCCCCGGGAUCACUUCACUUGCGGUUGUAAUUUACGCCUGCUGUCAUCGACCGUAGCGUCACUUCAAGGAGCAUCAGCCGAAGGGACGUCAUCUACCCUGUACACGUCACCAUCCGCGCCAGCUGCUAUCCACACUCCGGUGAAAUCAAGCGACGCCGGCCGGAAAAAUUUCAUCUGACGUAUCGCCAACAAAAGAUGGUGUACGUGCGCUAUCCCAUCAUUUGGCCGCAAAGGUUGCGACUGCGAGCAACCAUCUAAUUUUGUCCUGGCCAUUAGUGCUGAUUUGUCUCAUAAACUUGUACAUUUGUGAAUCCUUCUUAGCCGCUCCCCUGUUGCCGUCAGUGUCUCGAGUGUGUUUCAUGAUGCCGUCGUGUGCAGAGCGAGCAAACGAAAUAGCACCCCUAGAUGCUGAAAUUACAUCUAUGCAAGAAAGUCUUAGCAUGUUUAAUGGACUCCGUAAAAUUUCAGAACGAAACCAUCGUGAAGGAAAAUCAAUUGUUGAAGGAAGAAAACCCGAAGCUGUAUCAACGUCUCUCGUAACUCGAGCGUAUUCUCGCUUCAACAACGUAUAGAGGUUGAAGGUGUUUCCGUCACAGAAAGUGAAAAUUGCCUGGCUGUAAUACAGGCUAUCGGUGAAAAAAAGUUUACGGUGAAUACAGGCUAUUGGCUGUAUUGUCAUUCCCUCCGAUGUUGAAAUUGUUCAUUGUGUCCCCGCGAAAAAACACAAGAACAUCAUCGCGCGCUUCUGCUCGAAAACGAAGUUGGCGGAAUUCAUUAGUAAGGCUCGGAAAUCUAAGCUCACCACUUCGGCUGUUGAUCGGUCACGAAACAGUAACUCACCUUUCAUUGUUAAUGAUCAUCUCACGCCAGAAAACAAGCGUCUUUUCACGCAAGCUCUCGACUUGGAAAAAACCAAAGGGUGGCGAUUCUCUGCAUUGAAAAUUGUGUAAUCAAAGAAAGAAAGACUGGAAAUAGUCGCGUUUAUUACAUGUCCAGUGCAAACGAUCAGGCAAUAUUUGCAUAUUCAGCGUGUCUGUGCAUCCUUCAUUCGAAUUUCUGUGAUGAACAGAGGCAUGUUUUCAUGUGAUAAACGAAAGCAUUGCUCCGUGAUAAAUUCCCAAUUUUUCAUUCAUUCACUGUAAUAUUCGGAGUGUUCAAAAGCAUCACGAUGUUUCGCUAAACUUUUUUCUAUACUUGAUCAUAACUUUUCUGUAAGCUAUUUUUCUGUAAAGUGGCUAACACAAGCAGAUAGCAAUCUAUUUUUUCUUCCACGUUACACCAGUGAACAUAGCCACCGUGGAAUCUAAAGAAGUGGUGAAUCUGCAAUUUUUGUGAAUUUGUCACUCCGUACACUCGUCGUCACGAUAUUUCAUUCUGUAAUUAAUUGUGCGAGUCUGUCUGGUAAGAGUUAGACCGGAAUGUCAUGCCACUCAACAAUAGCCAUACAAUCAUGGCAUGCACUUAUUCCCCAUCAUUUUGGAAUUCGGACUUUGGUUCACAGCUAGAAAUUUUUGACAUCUUAACCAAUGAAACUAGAAACGUCAUCAUUUGUGGUGACAUCAGCAUACUUCUUCUCAACUGUCAGUCGUGUUCUGACUAUAUCAACUGCUUCAUUAGCUAUGCUUUUUUUUCUUCUUUAAAUAAUAUUCCAACAAGAUGUGACACUGCUGGUUCUUGCACGUUAAUAGACCAUACAUUUUCGUCUUCAUCCUCUGACUGCACUAAUGGAGUGAUAGAUUAUUACAUUACUGAUCAUUAUCCCCUGUUGUUUUGUCUUAGCAGUGGAAAACGUUUGCAGCAUACCGAAUACACUAAGGGUUUAUUCAAUACAACCUUAUUUGUACGAAAGGUGCAUGACACGUGCUGGAAUAUUUUUUUACGUGAAAAUUUCCUGAGAAGGCAUAAUAAAUGUUCCUGUCAACAGUGACAGAUUAAUUUAUUGACUGCCCAACCCACAUAUAUCGUAAGCACAUUCUUGUCUCCUACAAAUCCAUGGAUAACAAUUGUGUUGCUGUGCAGUAUAUUUAUAAUAAAGAAAUCUUUAAAAAGUCAAA